rnacentral:rRNA from 1 species
UACGUAGGGGGCUAGCGUUGUCCGGAAUCAUUGGGCGUAAAGCGCGUGUAGGCGGUCCGGUAAGUCCGCUGUGAAAGUCGGGGGCUUAACCCUCGGAUGCCGGUGAAUACUGUCGGGCUUGAGUACGGAAGAGGCGAGUGGGAAUUCCUGGUGUAGCGGUGAAAUGCGACAGAUAUCAGGAAGAACGACCAACUGGCGGAAAGGCAGCUCUCGUGGACGGUACUGACGGCUGAGA